UCUCCGUAGGUGAACCUGCGGAGGGAUCAUUACUGAGUGAGGGCUUCGGUCCGACCUCCAACCCUUUGUGAACCAAACUUGUUGCUUCGGGGGCGACCCUGCCGUUCCGGCACCGGCGCCCCCGGAGGACUUCCAACCCUGCAUCAUUGCGUCGGAGUAUUUUUUGUAAAUCUAAACAAAACUUUCAACAACGGAUCUCUUGGUUCUGGCAUCGAUGAAGAACGCAGC
rnacentral:misc_RNA from 1 species